ensembl:lncRNA
GUACAUGGUGUCCAGGUCAGGACAAAAAGACACAUUUAUUUCUUAAAAACUAUCAGAAAGAAUAAUGGGCUGUUAUAAUACUGUACAUGGUGUCCAGGUGAGGACAACCAGAACAUUUAUUUAUUAAAAACUAUCAGAAAGAAUAAUGGGCUGUUAUAAUUUUGUACAUGGUGUCCAGGUGAGGACAACCAGAACAUUUAUUUAUUAAAGACUAUCAGAAAGAAUAAUGGGCUGUUAUAAUACUGUACAUGGUGUCCAGGUCAGGACAACCAGAACAUUUAUUUAUUAAAGACUAUCAGAAAGAAUAAUGGGCUGUUAUAAUACUGUACAUGGUGUCCAGGUCAGGAUUACCAGAACAUUUCUGUAUUAAAGACUUUCAGAUAGAAGUUGGUACUUUUAUUUUGAUCCAAAGCCCAUGAAUGACUGAGUCACUCAGCUCUAUGUAGGUGCCAAGUUUAUAUGACUGAGUCACUCAGCUCUAUGUAGGUGCCGAGGCUAUAUGACUGAGUCACUUAGCUCUAUGUAAGUGCCGACUAUAUGACUGAGUCACUCAGCUCUAUGUAGGUGCCGGCUAUAUGACUGAGUCACUCAGCUUUAUGUAGGUGCCGAGGCGAUAUGACUGAGUCACUCAGCUCUAUGUAAGUGCCGAGUGACGAUGUUGUUGGUGAUGUAUGGUGAGGACCUUCCUUGCUACAGGCCUACAAGCCCCCAGUCCAGCCUCUCUCAGCCUAUUGCGGACAGUCUGAGCACUGAUGGAGGGAUUGUGCAUUCCUGAACAAGCAUGGGAAACAGUGUUUAAUUAAACCCUUUACAAUGAAGAUCUGUUUGGAUUUUUACGAAUUAUCUUUGAAUGACAGGGUCCUGAAAAAGGGACGUUUCUUUUUUUGCUUUAUCAAAAGCCUUUUCAAAGUCAGUUAUGAAUACCAGGCCUGGUUUCCCAGAUUUUUCAUAAUGUUCUUCCAGUACUUGUUUUAUAUUAUCUCCGAUGUAUCGUCCAUGUAAAAAACCUUUCUGAUUAGGCUGAAUAAUAUCUGACCUUCUUAAUUCUAUGAACUAUGCAUUUUGCUAAAAUUUUUGCAUCACAAUACUGAAGUGUAAGAGUCCUCCAAUUUUGCUUAGAUUUGCUAGGGCGUUGGGGAUGAUGGAUGGGCAUCUGACUCUGCUUCAAAAGGUUGCAUGUUCUUAAUGCUGAUAUUUAAGGUUAGGUUAAAUUUAGUCAUUAACUCAGAAUUCCUAAGGUUAUGCAUUAACUCUGAACAGACAGUUAACCCACUGUUCCUAGGCCGUCAUUGAAAAUAAGAAUUUGUUCUUAACUGACUUGCCUAGUUAAAUAAAGGUAAAAAAAAAAAUGUAAAUGGUUAAGGUAAGGGUUAAGGUCUGGGAUAGGUUUCAAACAAAAAUAUCAACAACGACUUUUUAUCGCUGGAUUCAAACAUGCUUUCAAACAGCUAUCCCAAACCUUAACCCUGGUACCCUCUCUCUGCUCCACCUCCCUCCAUUCCACACCGGUUACACCUAUCCCAAACCUUAACCCUGGUACCCUCUCUCUGCUCCACCUCCCUCCAUUCCACACAGGUUACAGCUAUCCCAAACCUUAACCCUGGUACCCUCUCUCUGCUCCACCUCCCUCCAUUCCACACCGGUUACAGCUAUCCCAAACCUUAACCCUGGUACCCUCUCUCUGACUCCCCCUCCCUCCAUUCCACACCGGUUACAGCUAUCCCAAACCUUAACCCUGGUACCCUCUCUCUGACUCCCCCUCCCUCCAUUCCACACCGGUUACAGCUAUCCCAAACCUUAACCCUGGUACCCUCUCUCUGACUCCCCCUCCCUCCAUUCCACACCGGUUACAGCUAUCCUUAACCCUGGUUCCCUCUCUCUGACUCCCCCUCCCUCCAUUCCACACCGGUUACAGCUAUCCCAAACCUUAACCCUGGUACCCUCUCUCUGACUCCCCCUCCCUCCAUUCCACACCGGUUACAGCUAUCCUUAACCCUGGUACCCUCUCUCUGCUCCACCUCCCUCCAUUUCACACAGGUUACACCUAUCCCAAACCUUAACCCUGGUUCCCUCUCUCUGCUCCACCUCCCUCCAUUCCACACCGGUUACACCUAUCCUUAACCCUGGUACCCUCUCUCUGCUCCACCUCCCUCCAUUCCACACCGGUUACACCUAUCCCAAACCUUAACCCUGGUUCCCUCUCUCUGACUCCCCCUCCCUCCAUUCCACACCGGUUACACCUAUCCCAAACCUUAACCCUGGUACCCUCCCUCUGCUCCACCUCCCUCCAUUCCACACCGGUUACACCUAUCCCAAACCUUAACCCUGGUACCCUCUCUCUGACUCCCCCUUCUCUCUGCUCCACCUCCCUCUAUUCCACACCGGUUACAGCUAUCCCAAACCUUAACCCUGGUACCCUCUCUCUGCUCCACCUCCCUCCAUUCCACACCGGUUACAGCUAUCCUUAACCCUGGUUCCCUCUCUCUGCUCCACCUCCCUCCAUUUCACACAGGUUACACCUUUCCUUAACCCUGGUUCCCUCUCUCUGCUCCACCUCCCUCCAUUCCACACCGGUUACAGCUAUCCCAAACCUUAACCCUGGUACC